GAUGAACGCUGGCGGCGUGCCUAAUACAUGCAAGUCGAGCGAACGGACGAGAAGCUUGCUUCUCUGAUGUUAGCGGCGGACGGGUGAGUAACACGUGGAUAACCUACCUAUAAGACUGGGAUAACUUCGGGAAACCGGAGCUAAUACCGGAUAAUAUUUUGAACCGCAUGGUUCAAAAGUAAAAGAGGGUCUUGCUGUCACUUAUAGAUGGAUCCGCGCUGCAUUAGCUAGUUGGUAAGGUAACGGCUUACCAAGGCAACGAUGCAUAGCCGACCUGAGAGGGUGAUCGGCCACACUGGAACUGAGACACGGUCCAGACUCCUACGGGAGGCAGCAGUAGGGAAUCUUCCGCAAUGGGCGAAAGCCUGACGGAGCAACGCCGCGUGAGUGAUGAAGGUCUUCGGAUCGUAAAACUCUGUUAUUAGGGAAGAACAUAUGUGUAAGUAACUGUGCACAUCUUGACGGUACCUAAUCAGAAAGCCACGGCUAACUACGUG
rnacentral:rRNA from 1 species